AUAAUGCAUUACAAGUUACUUGCAUUGGAGAAAAUGCAUGCCCCCACGCAUCCAUCAGCCCUUCACCCACCUUAUAAAGCUCCAAAACUUGAUUGAAGACCCAAAUGAUAUCAGAAGAGCAGCAGUUGGGCUUCAUAGAUCUUGAUUUUCAAUUCAUAUUUACAAUCAUUUUUUUUUAUUUUUUUUUCAUAGAUCAUGUAGUUUGAUCUGAAACAUCGAGAAAAUAAACUCUGACAUCUAUUAUCAGAAGCUAUGCACGAUAAUUUCACAUAGAACAGUCACAAAUCUCCUGAUUCAAAGUAAGUGGAUUGCAUUAGUGGGAAUUAUGUCAAAACAACAAUUGAGAUCAGAGAAGUGCUCUAUGUAGUUUGAUUUGGAAUGUAAAAGAAAAACUUUCACUGUUAUUAUCAGAAGCUAUGCACAAUAAUCUCUGAUUAUUCCAUAACAUCAAACAAUUACAUAUCUUCUGAUUCAAAGCAAGUGGAUUGCAUUCAAGUGGGAAUUAUGUCAUCACAACAAUUGAGAUCAGAGAAGAACCCAGUUAAUAAUUGCUCUCCAAUGGCAGACACAAACUGUAACAGAACUCAUCAUCAUGGGGAAGGGCAGAAGGAUUUGGUUGGCAUUAAAUGCAACAGAAUUUGCACUGAGGAGGAGGAAAAAAAGUUCUGUCUCUGCUCUCCUACAACUCAUCCCGGCUCAUUUCGCUGCCGUUUGCACAGAAAUUGAAUUGGGUUUGUGUGGAAUUCAAAUUUAGAUAUGUAAAUUCUUUACCCAUUUGGAGAUCUUCCAUGAAAACAUCAGAUUUCCUGUAAAUACAUCUAUUGAGUAGGUUAUGGUAAGGAGGAAAAAUUGUACUAUUAAAUUUGCUCUAUAUUUUAUAUAUGUAUAUGACAGAUAUAAAAUACAGAUAUCAAAAUGGUUUGGAGAAGGAACAGUCUGGUAUUUAUUUAUUUGGAAUUUUUUUACCAUUUCAUAUUAUUAAUAUGAGUUAUAUCUCCCAAAGAGCAUAUAGAAAACUAUGUUAUUAUGAUCAGAAUUGAAUAAAACGUAUGUGUUAAUAUU